rnacentral:rRNA from 1 species
AUUGAACGCUGGCGGCAGGCUUAACACAUGCAAGUCGAGCGGAGAGAGGUAGCUUGCUACUGAUCUUAGCGGCGGACGGGUGAGUAAUGCUUAGGAAUCUGCCUAUUAGUGGGGGACAACAUUUCGAAAGGAAUGCUAAUACCGCAUACGUCCUACGGGAGAAAGCAGGGGAUCUUCGGACCUUGCGCUAAUAGAUGAGCCUAAGUCGGAUUAGCUAGUUGGUGGGGUAAAGGCCUACCAAGGCGACGAUCUGUAGCGGGUCUGAGAGGAUGAUCCUCAACACUGGGACUGAGACACGGCCCAGACUCCUACGGGAGGCAGCAGUGGGGAAUAUUGGACAAUGGGCGCAAGCCUGAUCCAGCCAUGCCGCGUGUGUGAAGAAGGCCUUAUGGUUGUAAAGCACUUUAAGCGAGGAGGAGGCUACUUUAGAUAAUACCUAGAGAUAGUGGACGUUACUCGCAGAAUAAGCACCGGCUAACUCUGUGCCAGCCGCCGCCGUAA